UACAAAGUCCUCAUUGUUCUGAGGAGGGGAGAGAUGCAGCCAGGGUAGGCGGCCUCGAGACUGGGCAGGUGUGAGCCCGGGCGGUGAGUCUCAGAGGCACAUGGAGGGUCCGCCUGGAGAGGACAGAAUGCAGGGCCAACCCACAGGACGAGGCCCAGAGCAGGAAGGGCCUGGAGCCUGCAGAGGGCAACAAGGGGAACAGGCCCGGGAAAGGACAUGGAGGGCCUGCCCAGAGCUUCUGAGGGUGCUGACGGCCAGGCCGGCCCGGACACCGUCUCGUCUCUCUCCAUCCUUCACUGUGCUGCUCUGCUCUCUGGGAUCUCAGUUCAUUCAGAGUUGGGAAAGGAAAGAUCCAUCUGAGGAAAAGAUGGAGAAACUGAGGUGUAGAGAGCCAAGGGAUGAGCCAGCCUGGAUCCAUGGGUUUUGGAAUCAGAAAAUCGUGGACUCUGUGGGUCAAGAAUUUGGGCAAGGCACAGUGGGGGCGUGAGCUCAAUGAUGCCCGCUGUCUCACCUAGGAAGAUUCAGUAGCUGGGGGCACCAUGACAGCUGGCAGCUGGAAUCA